GAUCAUGGCUCAGAACGAACGCUGGCGGCAGGCUUAACACAUGCAAGUUGAACGGGAUUUGAUGGUAGCUUGCUAUCAUUAAUGAGAGUAGCGCACUGGUGAGUAACACGUGGGAACAUGCCUUUUGGUGGGGGACAACAGUUGGAAACGACUGCUAAUACCGCAUAAGCCCGGAAGGGGAAAGAUUAAUUGCCGAAAGAUUGGCCCGCGGAAGAUUAGGUAGUUGGUGGGGUAAAGGCCUACCAAGCCGACGAUCUAUAGCUGGUCUGAGAGGACGAACAGCCACAUUGGAACUGAGACACGGUCCAGACUCCUACGGGAGGCAGCAGUGAGGAAUAUUGGGCAAUGGAGGCAACUCUGACCCAGCCCAUGCCGCGUGAGUGAAGAAGGUUUUCGAAUUGUAAAGCUCUUUCGGGUGUGACGAUGAUGACGGCAGCACCUAAAGAAGCCCCGGCAAACUUCGUGCCAGCCGCAGC
rnacentral:rRNA from 1 species